CUCAACAUGAAUCAGCCAUAGGUAUACAUAGAUCCCCUCCCUUUUGAACCUCCCUCCCGUCUCCCUCUCCACUCCACCCCUCUAGGUUGAUACAGCACCCCUGUUUGAGUUUCCUGAGCCAUACAGCAAAUUCCUGUUGGCCAUCUAUUUUACAUACGGGUGCUGAGUUAAAGAGCCCCUCCUGAUAGAUUUAGAGAUAGACAUUUGGAUCUCAACUGAAAAUUGUGAUCACAUUUAUAAAGCCCAGAACAGACUGCAACCCAGAACAGCCAGCCACUCAGCCAGAGUUCUGUAUGGGACCUUGCUUCUGCCAAACAGACAUACUACAGGAGACUUGGAGCUAAGUGGUGGAGAGAUUGGCUUGUGGCGGUGAAGGUGUGGUUCUUCUGGGGAAGCUGAGGCAGGUGGCAGAGCAUCAGGUCCCAAGAGGCCUGGGUACUGACUGCAGGUACCACCAGGGUGCUGCUCCCCACAGCACCGCUGCGGCGCGGCUGGUCAUUUCUGCUGAUCUAUUCCGGAUGAGGCAGGCUCCAAGCCCAGCUCUGACCUGCCUGGGAUCCCAACCAUCAACAUUGUCUGCUCCUGAUAUCCGACCAGCCGCUUUAUCAUGGCUGAGGAUCCAGGAUCGCUGGAAGCAGAUAAUUCUCCCCACCUGCCAUCGAAGGUCAAUAUGAGCCCAAGGCUACAUCACAGCACCUGCGUCAUUCACCUCACUUCCUUUCCCAUCAUCACAAGAAGGAGACGGGUGAGUAUAGAACAAUUAAACGUUUUGAGAGAGGUGACAUUCACAUAACUUUCAUUAUAGUAUUUGCUAUAACUGUUGUAAUUUACUAUUAGUUACUGCUAACCUCUUACUGCGCCUAAUUGAUAAAUUAGACUUUAUUGUAGACGUGUGUGUGUCGGAAAAC
ensembl:lncRNA